UUGGAGGGCAAGUCUGGUGCCAGCAGCCGCGGUAAUUCCAGCUCCAAUAGCGUAUAUUAAAGUUGUUGCAGUUAAAAAGCUCGUAGUUGAAUUUCGGGGUUCAUACGUUGGUCGGGCUUUUUGGUCUGUACUAGCGUAAUGGAUUCCUACCUUCUGAAUAACCGGCAUGCCAUUAAUUUGGUGCGUCGGGGAAGCAGGACUGUUACCUUGAAAAAAUUAGAGUGCUUAAAGCAGGCUAUCGCCUGAAUACAUUAGCAUGGAAUAAUGAAAUAGGACGGCAUGGUUCUAUUUUGUUGGUUUCUAGGAUCACCGUAAUGAUUAAUAGGGAUAGUUGGGGGCAUUAGUAUUCAAUUGUCAGAGGUGAAAUUCUUGGAUUUAUUGAAGACUAACUUCUGCGAAAGCAUUUGCCAAGGAUGUUUUCAUUAAUCAAGAACGAAAGUUAGGGGAUCGAAGACGAUCAGAUACCGUCGUAGUCUUAACCAUAAACUAUGCCGACUAGGAAUCGGACGAUGUUAAUUUUUUAAUGACUCAUUCGGCGCCUUACGGGAAAC
rnacentral:rRNA from 1 species